UCUUACAGCACUAGAUUCGCAUUUGGAGGAGGAGGAGGAGGAGCGUCAUCGUCGUCAGUAGCGAGGAGAGAUUGGAGGCCUGUGCAAACUAGAAGAACAGCCACCACCGUCACCAUGACACUGGGAGGAAGCUUUGAUACCUUUCGGGACAAUGAUGGAGCACCGCCCACGCGUUUCCAGCGAAGUGGAUACCUCCUCGGCCAGCCCUUGAAGAGCCUGGAUCCCGGCUUGCACCUCGGCCCGGAACUUCCACGCCUCCACCAGCGGAAGGGUCCUUCGUUCCUCAAGCCUGGAAGAAUCGGAGUUAAGCGAGAGAGCAGCGAUCCGGAUGGAACUUACGAGACCACCAAGAAGGAGGUGACCAAGGCGGCGAAGCGGCUCAAGGACGACAAAGGUGGCGGCACGGGCAGGAUCGCCGUCUACUUCGUCUCCUGGUGGGGGCUCAACAUCAUCUUCAACGUUUACAACAAGAAGGUGCUCAACGUUUACCCGUUUCCGUGGCUCACCUCCGUCAUGGCGCUCUUCGCCGGGACCGUCAUCAUGCUCGGCUCGUGGAUGACGGGAUGCAUCCAAGCUCCCGACACGGACAUGCAGUUCUGGCAGAAUCUCUUCCCUGUAAGAACCAAAGAACUCAUCAGUCAGUCCACGAACUUGAAGUAACAAAACCAAAGAGAGCGUAGGAACUCACUCACCUUGAAAGCUUUCAGGUGGCAGUGGCGCAUUCCAUUGGACACGUCGCGGCGACCAUCAGCAUGGCGAGGAGUGCUGUGGCCUUCAC
rnacentral:lncRNA from 1 species